AUUGAACGCUGGCGGCAGGCCUAACACAUGCAAGUCGAACGAGUGGCGGACGGGUGAGUAAUGUCUGGGAAACUUCCUGAUGGCGGGGGAUAACUACUGGCAACGGUAGCUAAUACCGCAUACCAUCAGAUGUGCUCCGAUGGGAUUAGCUAGUUGGUGGGGUAACGGCUCACCAAGGCGACGAUCCCUAGCUGGUCUGAGAGGAUGACCAGCCAAACUGGAACUGAGACACGGUGCAGAAUCAGACGGGAGGCAGCAGUGGGGAAUAUUGCAAAAUGGGCGCAAGCCUGAUGAAGCCAUGCCGCGUGUAUGAAGAAGGCCUUCGGGUUGUAAAGGACUUUCAGCGGGGAGGCGUUACCCGCAGAAGAAGAACCGGCUAACUACGUGCAAGCAGCCGCGGUAAUAC
rnacentral:rRNA from 1 species